UCUCGAUUGGUCUAGUGGUAAGGAUACCUGCUUGUCAAUACGAAGCAAAUCGCAGGUGGCCGGGGUUCGAUUCCCCGAUCGAGAG